rnacentral:rRNA from 1 species
UACGUAGGGUGCAAGCGUUGUCCGGAAUCAUUGGGCGUAAAGAGCGUGUAGGCGGCCACUUAAGUCCUGCGUGAAAUCUUGCGGCUCAACCGCAAGCGGUCGUGGGAAACUGGGUGGCUAGAGUGCGGGAGAGGAGAGUGGAAUUCCUGGUGUAGCGGUGGAAUGCGCAGAUAUCAGGGAGGAACACCGGUGGCGAAGGCGGAUCUCUGGGCCUUACCUGACGGCUGAGGCGCGAAAGCUAGGGGAGCAAACAGG